rnacentral:rRNA from 1 species
AGCGCCGUUGAUACUGCAGAGCUUGAGUCCGAGCGAGGCUGGCGGAAUGCGCGGUGUAGCGGUGAAAUGCUUAGAUAUCGCGCAGAACUCCGAUUGCGAAGGCAGCUGGCCAGCUCGCGACUGACGCUCAGGCACGACAGCGUGGGGAUCGAACAGGAUUAGAUACCCUGGUAGUCCACGCCGUAAACGAUGAGCGCUCGCUGCUCGGGCCGUUAAGGCAUGAGUGGCCAAGAGAAAUCGUUAAGCGCUCCACCUGGGGAGUACGGCCGCAGGGCUGAAACUCAAAGGAAUUGACGGGGGCCCGCACAAGCGGAGGAACAUGUGGUUUAAUUCGAUGAUACGCGAGGAACCUUACCCGGGCUUGAAAUGGAGAGGAAUGAUGUGGAAACAUGUCAGUUCGCAAGAACCUCUUUGUAGGUGCUGCAUGGUUGUCGUCAGCUCGUGCCGUGAGGUGUCGGCUUAAGUGCCACAACGAGCGCAACCCCUGCCGUCGGUUGCCAGCGGGUCAUGCCGGGGACUUCGACGGGACUGCCACCGUAAGGUGCGAGGAGGGUGGGGAUGACGUCAAAUCAGCACGGCCCUUACGUCCGGGGCGACACACGUGUUACAAUGGGGGGUACAGAGGGCUGCUACUCAGCGAUGGGAUGCUAAUCUCGAAAGCCCCUCUCAGUUCGGAUCGGAGUCUGCAACUCGACUCCGUGAAGUUGGAUUCGCUAGUAAUCGCGCAUCAGCCAUGGCGCGGUGAAUACGUUCCCGGGCCUUGUACACACCGCCCGUCAAGCCAUGGGAGCUGGGGGUGCCUGAAGUGCGUAACCGCAAGGAGCGCCCUAGGGCAAAACCGGUGACUGGGGCUAAGUCGUAACAAGGUAACC